GACGAACGCUGGCGGCGUGCCUAAUACAUGCAAGUAGAACGCUGAAGGAGGAGCUUGCUCUUCUGGAUGAGUUGCGAACGGGUGAGUAACGCGUAGGUAACCUGCCUGGUAGCGGGGGAUAACUAUUGGAAACGAUAGCUAAUACCGCAUAACAGUAGAUGUUGCAUGACAUUUACUUAAAAGGUGCAAUUGCAUCACUACCAGAUGGACCUGCGUUGUAUUAGCUAGUUGGUGGGGUAACGGCUCACCAAGGCGACGAUACAUAGCCGACCUGAGAGGGUGAUCGGCCACACUGGGACUGAGACACGGCCCAGACUCCUACGGGAGGCAGCAGUAGGGAAUCUUCGGCAAUGGACGGAAGUCUGACCGAGCAACGCCGCGUGAGUGAAGAAGGUUUUCGGAUCGUAAAGCUCUGGUGUAAGAGAAGAACGAGUGUGAGAGUGGAAAGUUCACACUGUGACGGUAUCUUACCAGAAAGGGACGGCUAACUACGUG
rnacentral:rRNA from 1 species